GCCUGAUCGCUACCUGAGAUCCUUCCGCAGGGUCCUACUUAUGGUUCCCAAAUUUUGGCUUGUCACUAAAGGUGACUGGGCCCCUGCUGUCCGGCCCCUCAGCUGUGGAACUCCCUGCCCGACGAUCUCAGGAAGCUUUCCACAUAUACUGUUUGUGUUCAUUUAAAAAGACGCGAGGAGUGAGCCUAUACAGCAGUGUCAUAACAGAAGAGGUAACUGAGAUCUCACUGGAACCUGACAGGAAGGAAGGCGAGAAGAGAAAGAAAUUCAAGCAAAGUCAUGUCACAGUUUUUCCAUUUAAUCCACUGGGAUCUAACGUCUUCAGUUGAACGAUCCAUCUCCUCUCCGCUCGUUUACCCUGUAGGGUGGACCAGCCGUCUCUGCCCUCCACACAUCUAUACCCGAGAUGCUCCAAAACAAACAUUUUAAAAGUGCCCAUGAAGUAAGGUGGUGACCCUCCCUCCCUGAAUACAAUAAAAAAUGUUAAGUCAUUAGGGUUUUCAAGGUUCUGCUUGUUUCACCAAAGUACAGUUUGUCCCAAUGUUCACACUGGAUGAGAUGAACCCAUUAGGGAUCUUCUGGUGUACAUUUCAGAGGGAGAGGAGCUCCACAGCCUAAAUGCCUGCUGACUAUGAAGGGGAAAUGGUUGAGAAGGUAUUGAUCAUAUUGUUUAAAUGGCUUAUAAAAGGCUUAUAAAAUGCAGUAUGAACUAAAAUAUCCGUUGGAGUUUCUUUAGUACCUAGUCGAUGUGAUGGAACUGUGCACCAGGGAAGCUGUCAACUUGAACUUCAUCACUGGUGAAUGGUGGAAUACGAGCCAGGUUCCCGGACAGAAGCAAGGCCAGACAUUGAAGGUGACUGUGUUUUGGAAAGUUUUGCUAUACUUUACUAUUGACCUUAGGACAAGUCUGGAAAGCCUCUGAACGGUCCUGGGCUGACGGGUGAUUUGGGAACAGAAGGAGGUGAUUGGGACUUGGAGGGGCCUUGACAGUCCUAGGGGAUGAGGUAGAAGAAGGAGGAGAGGGUGAGAUCUGAUGGGAAUGUAACUCACGCCUCUCUGUGUCUGGCCUCUCAGAGGCUGUGGUAAGUGAGCUUUCACUGUCUCCUCCCUCGACUUGUGAAGAAAUGAUAGAGAGAUUGUGUACUGCUAAGGGAGCGUGAUGGAGUUCUGCUGUGAUCUCCCUAGAUGUGGGAUGAGCUACAGGAGUCUGCUUAGCUUGAGGCAAAAGAGGCUCAACUGCUGUGCUCUCUGGCUGCCCUAUUGUGGGCUUUUGAACCGUCUGUUGAGACUGAGCUGAAGGUGGAAGAGGUGGGAACUCGUCAGGUGGCAACUCCUUGGGUAAGCGACUACGCGGUGGCUCCCCCAGAAGGGGAUAGUUAAAACAUUUUUAAAAAAUUAAAAAAAAAAAUUAAAAAUUAAAAUUAAAAAAUAGAUACAAAAUGAAUUUAAAAUAUUAAAAACACAAAUAUAAACAACCUACAAAUAAUAAGGAAGGUAAGAGUAGAAGGUAAAAAUAAACAGUUAAUUGUUUAGACCAUAAAAAUCCAAAUAAUCAAAGAAAAAGGAGAUUUUGACUCACUGGGAUUUCUAAGCUUGUCCUGACAUCUGGUGGUCUGUUAACAGAACUACACCCUUAAACAAAAUCCCCAACUAAGAGAAGGUGUGUUAAAACAGCUUUCAAUGUCCAAACAAACUUUUAAACAAAAAAAAAAAUAUAUAUAGUAAGCCCUAAUAAAUAUAUAUAU